GACGAACGCUGGCGGCGUGCCUAAUACAUGCAAGUUGAGCGCUGAAGGUUGGUACUUGUACCAACUGGAUGAGCAGCGAACGGGUGAGUAACGCGUGGGGAAUCUGCCUUUGAGCGGGGGACAACAUUUGGAAACGAAUGCUAAUACCGCAUAAAAACUUUAAACACAAGUUUUAAGUUUGAAAGAUGCAAUUGCAUCACUCAAAGAUGAUCCCGCGUUGUAUUAGCUAGUUGGUGAGGUAAAGGCUCACCAAGGCGAUGAUACAUAGCCGACCUGAGAGGGUGAUCGGCCACAUUGGGACUGAGACACGGCCCAAACUGCUACGGGAGGCAGCAGUAGGGAAUCUUCGGCAAGGGACGAAAGUCUGACCGAGCAACGCCGCGUGAGUGAAGAAGGUUGUCGGAUCGUAAAACUCUGUUGGUAGAGAAGAACGUUGGUGAGAGUGGAAAGCUCAUCAAGUGACGGUAACUACCCAGAAAGGGACGGCUAACUACGUG
rnacentral:rRNA from 1 species